rnacentral:lncRNA from 1 species
GAGGAUUUGAAUUCAAAAUUAAGUUAUUCUGGCAAAAGCUGCCAGACAGGGCAGCAACUAGUAAACAGUGGGACUGAUUUGUCAACCCUGAUCCUGACUGGACUCUUGAUUUUCAUCAGCUGCACUGUGGCAUUGUAUGAAACUGCAUUUGAUGGCCCAGGAGACUGGAGAAAGACUGAUGAAUUUUCACUGAUUGAGAAAAACAGUUUUGUGGAAAUCAGGUGUAACACCUUCCUAACUCAUUUAUCUGGUACUUAUCCAAUGAGAAAGUCAUCAGGAGACUGGGAAGAUCUGGGGUCUGUUCUCUUCACUAUUACAGGGUUUGU